UACGUAGGGGGCAAGCGUUGUCCGGAAUCAUUGGGCGUAAAGCGCGCGUAGGCGGCCCGGUAAGUCCGCUGUGAAAGUCGGGGGCUCAACCCUCGGAUGCCGGUGGAUACUGUCGGGCUUGAGUGCGGAAGAGGCGAGUGGAAUUCCUGGUGUAGCGGUGAAAUGCGCAGAUAUCAGGAGGAACACCAAUUGCGAAGGCAGCUCGCUGGGACGUUACUGACGCUGAGACGCGAAGGCGUGGGGAGCGAACGGG
rnacentral:rRNA from 1 species